rnacentral:rRNA from 1 species
UACGUAGGGUGCGAGCGUUGUCCGGAAUUAUUGGGCGUAAAGGGCUCGUAGGCGGUUUGUCGCGUCGGGAGUGAAAACCCAGGGCUUAACUCUGGGCUGGCUUUCGAUACGGGCAGACUAGAGGCAUGCAGGGGAGAACGGAAUUCCUGGUGUAGCGGUGAAAUGCGCAGAUAUCAGGAAGAACACCCGUGGCGAAGGCGGCUCUCCGGGACGGUACUGACGCUGAGACGCGAAAGCGUGGGGAGCGAACAGG